AAGCAGACGGACGAUGGAAUGUAGAAGAGAAGGGGACUUACCCGGGACGUGGACGGACCCCAGGGAGUGGCAAAGCUGGGAGAUCCAAGUCAUGGCAGACAAGAACCAGAGGAACGGGUGGCAUCCCGCUAACCCAAUAACAGGUAUCACUUCAACAUUCCCUCCAACAGAGCUAAAUGCUCCUUUGUGUCCUCCGUGAGCAACAGGGAGCUAUCCAAAUAUUGCCCAAGACUUUCACUGCCCCAGAACGUGCUUAAAAUCCUUUACGUGAGUAUGGAAUCCCUGAAGUGAACUGAGGAACACUGGAUACCUUCAGAAGUGGAAGCAAAUGCGUAGUGGCUAUCCGGAUCCAAUGGAAAUUAUGAGAAUCCGUCAGCCAUGCCCACUUCGCCUCUCUUUGAAAGGCUGCUCUGACUUCUGGAUAAGCUGCUACAACUGGGCCCAUCAUGGGGUGUACGUAUUUUAUUUCCAGUAGUCUGUUCUUAACUACCAAGUCCCAUUCAGUUUCCAUACAGGCCAAAUGGUAGAGUCAUUACUUGAACUGCACUUCACAAGAAUCCCAUUCUUCUAAAGACUCUUAUCUCCAGAAUAUUAGCCCAUUUUGAAAACCUGUAUUGCUUCUGAGGAUGAGGAGAAUCUGACCCUUCUUUCUCACUCACAUCUAUCUUCUCACAGUUGUUUAACUGUACAGCACCCCUGGAUACCACUCUCACAUUCUCAGCACAUCACUUUUCCGGUCUUCAGAGACUGUACUGCUCCCUAAACUCUCUACACAGUACAGAAGGCAUGCUUCCUGGGCCACAGGGCUACUCUUUUGGCGCCAUCUCGUGACCAUACCCAAAAAGUACCGGUUGCAAAAAAUAUAUUGUUAAAUUGUCCUUCAGUUGCAUGUGCUUUCCAAGAAUGGGUUGUUUUCCACUUGUGUUCAUUAAACAGUGCUCUUUUACUCUCUUUGGUAUAUUCUAGUCUUUUACUCUUUGGUGUUUUGUUGAUCUUUCCUG
rnacentral:lncRNA from 1 species